rnacentral:rRNA from 1 species
UACGAAGGGGGCUAGCGUUGCUCGGAAUCACUGGGCGUAAAGCGCACGUAGGCGGACUUUUAAGUCAGGGGUGAAAUCCUGGAGCUCAACUCCAGAACUGCCUUUGAUACUGGAAGUCUUGAGUCCGGAAGGGGUAAGUGGAACUGCGAGUGUAGAGGUGAAAUUCGUAGAUAUUCGCAAGAACACCAGUGGCGAAGGCGGCUUACUGGUCCGGUACUGACGCUGAGGUGCGAAAGCGUGGGGAGCAAACAGG